UACGAAGGGGGCUAGCGUUGUUCGGAAUUACUGGGCGUAAAGCGCACGUAGGCGGAUUUGUAAGUCAGGGGUGAAAUCCCGGGGCUCAACCUCGGAACUGCCUUUGAUACUGCAAGUCUCGAGUCCGAUAGAGGUGAGUGGAAUUCCUAGUGUAGAGGUGAAAAUUCGUAGAUAUUAGGAAGAACACCAGUGGCGAAGGCGGCUCACUGGAUCGGUACUGACGCUGAGGUGCGAAAGCGUGGGGAGCGAACAGG
rnacentral:rRNA from 1 species